UUGAAUAAAGGCUUGAACAGGCUGUUGCUGGCCCCCUUGUGGGGGGUAUGUGCACGCCUGGAUCAUCUUUUUAUCUCUCCAACCUGUGCACUCAUUGUAGAUCUGAAGCUAUUUUUUAUUUUUUGAAAUAGAUUGAGGAUUGCUGUAUAUCAGCUCUGCCUCGCAUUUUUCAGAUCUAUGUUAUUUUCACAAACCUCUGAAUGUGAUUUAGAAUGUUGAAUUUGGUUAUAAUAUA
rnacentral:misc_RNA from 1 species